CCAAAUCUCCCCAGUGUGCUCAUCCCCCGGUCUGCGGUCUCCUCAAGCCUCUGCACCCCAGCUCAGCGGAUGGCCCUGCCUCCCUCUCAUUCACAACCCAGGGACUCAGGCCAAAGAUUCCUUGGCAGGCACGUCCCGAGGACAUCCCCUCACAGAUCCACAGCACGAUGACCAAAGUCAGACUCAGCUCUGCUUCAGGGGAACCCAACGAAGACGGGGUGGUGGUGACACCCGCAUUUUCCUGGCCGCAGCAGCUGGGCCUGAAAACCGGCCCAUGGUCCAUGAACCCGAAUCCACAUUUUGCUGUUGCUAACUCAGAGGCUACGUCUGGAGGCCUGCGGACUGACGCC
rnacentral:lncRNA from 1 species